AACGAACGCUGGCGGCGUGGAUGAGACAUGCAAGUCGAACGGUGCAAUGCUUGUAGCAAUAUGAGUGUUGUUCAGUGGCGAACGGGUGCGUAACACGUGGAUACAUUCCGGAAAGCGGGGGAUAGCCCAGGGAAACUUGGAUUAAUACCGCAUGUGGUCGAAAGACUAAAGGUGGGGACCGCAAGGCCUGCCACUUUCCGAUUGGUCCGCGGCCUAUCAGCUAGUUGGCGGGGUAAAGGCCCACCAAGGCUACGACGGGUAGCUGGUCUUAGAGGACGACCAGCCACACUGGAACUGAGACACGGUCCAGACACCUACGGGUGGCAGCAGUCGAGGAUCUUUCACAAUGGGGGCAACCCUGAUGGAGCGACGCCGCGUGGAGGAUAAGGUCUUCGGAUUGUAAACUCCUGUCAUGCGCGAACAAGGUUGCUGGGUUAAUAACCCGGCAAAUUGAUGGUACCGCAAGAGGAAGAGACGGCUAACUCUGUGCCAGCAGCCGCCGCGGUA
rnacentral:rRNA from 1 species